rnacentral:rRNA from 1 species
UUUAAAUGGCCGCAGUAUAUUAACUGUGCAAAGGUAGCAUAAUCAUUAGUCUUUUAAUUGAAGGCUGGUAUGAAUGGUUGGACGAGAUAUUAACUGUUUCAUAAAAAUUUAUAUUAGAAUUUUAUUUUUUAGUUAAAAAGCUAGAAUUUAUUUAAAAGACGAGAAGACCCUAUAAAUCUUUAUAUUUAAAUUAUUGUAAUUUUAUAAAUUAUUUUUGUUACAAUAAUUGAUGAUAUUUUAUUGGGGCGAUAUUAAAAUUUAAUAAACUUUUAAUUAUUUAAAUCAUUAAUUUAUGAAUAAUUGAUCCGUUAUUAACGAUUAAAAAAAUAAGUUACUUUAGGGAUAACAGCGUAAUUUUUUUGGAGAGUUCAUAUCGAUAAAAAAGAUUGCGACCUCGAUGUUGGAUUAAGAUAUAAUUUUAGGUGUAGCUGCUUAAAUUUUAAGUCUGUUCGACUUUU